GAAGCAAUCAUUCCCGACCAGAAAACAAAAUGGAAAAAAGCCCCACACCCCCAUCGUCUUUCACCAGGACCCCAAUCCACCCCUGCAUCAUGCCGCCGCCCAAGCGUGCUCCCACCAGCGCGCCGCCGCCUCCUUCCUCCUCCGGCCAAGCUCGCCGCCGCCCCCGGUCCUCCUUCCUCCUCCGGCCAAGCUCGCCGCCGCCCCCGGUCCUCCUUCCUCCUCCGGCCAAGCGCGCCGCCGCCCCCGGUCCUCCUUCCUCCUCCGGCCAAGCGCGCUGCUGCCCCUGCCCCCCUCCUCCGGCCAAGCGCGCCACCGCCCCCGGUCAUCGUGGCACGCCAUCGCCGCCGGUGCGCCUUACCUCGUGCGCAGCCAUGGCCCCUGAUGCACCCCCACUGCUACCCUGUCCGCGGAUCCCCACGGACGGCGUCGAGGUCAUGGAGGUCGCCGCCUCCCGCGGCCAUGGCAAAAACACCUCCGCCGCUGGGCUAGCUCUAGCGCCCCCCCGUCCCAUCUGCCCUCCCCCACCAGCAACUCUACUAGCGCGUCCGAUGCUCCCUCCGGCGAGCAGCUGCGCGCCACGGGAUAGCGCCCCCCCCCCCCCCCCCCCCCCCGCGCCCCCCCCCCCCCCCCCCCCGGUCCUCUGCAUCCCGGUUUCUCUUCGUUACGACAUUCACACGAGGGAGGUUGGAUGAACUGCACGAAAAAAUGCUCAGUUCUACAGACAGCCCCCGCCGACCACACGGACUACUUCCUCCGGUCCUCAUCCAGCGGCCAAAUCCCGGCACACCUGAUAGUUCAAACUUACACCGACUGGCCUGCGACCAACUGCCCCGCCUCUACAAGCUCCUCGGGAAUGACUUGGUAGUAGAUGGGAUCCCCCUACAUCGGCAAAAUCCCGGCGCACCCAGCCGCCGCUCGUGAUCCCCGCUCCUUCAGCUCGACUUCGUCGGCGCAGUCAGUCCACAGGAGUAGGAGCGGCAUGCCCGGCAACAAACAAGAACAUAAGGCAUGUGGUCGGAAAUUUAAAGUUCUGCAUACAUUUGCCAAAGUUGUAGCUUCUUUCAAAGUUCAAAAUGAAAAAGAUAUUUAUUUCAACUUGUUCUAGCAAACCAUGUGUGAGACAUUGGCAGCAUGUCUACACACUAUGUAGCGCAGAAUAAUGUCCGGCGUAGUCAAACUCCUAUCCCUGUUUGGGUAGAUAGUCUAAACAGGACAAUGUCAAUCUCAUAAAUCCAUUUCUCUAUUCACCAAAUGUUCUUUGGAGAUAACAACCCCUGUAGUCCCUCAAUCUCUCAAAUUUGUUUGAAGCUGAGUGUACUUAUUCUGAUGCUCUGGUUGACCUUAUGCUUGCAGCUGAGUUGGACUUCCUCCUAUUCAAAUGCUUGCAACUUUUAAUUAUGUUUUCUUCGAAAGAUAGUUGCUGUAAAGUAGUACAUGUGCUAGCAUUUCAGUAUAGCUUCCAAAAAAAUGUGGUUAGAGUUCUCAAUUUGUUUAGAAGAAGAUAGGACGGGAAAUCUUGAAUGGAAAGCUCAUAUGAGUGUGGAUAGUUUGAGUAAAUUGGUGACGGGUGGAGAUCAUUCCUGUUGAUUAUUUUUUACAAUAAUUAUAGGUCCACUAGAGAAUUUCUUGAAGAUUAGAUAGGAGUGAAAAAAAAGUUUAGAAGUGAUGCUAAAAACUGAGACGUUUCAAAUUUAACAUUAUCUAAUUUCUUUUCUAUUAUUUUCUUUAGUUUUGGUGUCUGAAUUUGUGGAUAUAUGCAUUACAGCGGGUCCCAAUAUUUAUUUCUUCAAUUCUCUAACAAACAAGAGCUCUUUUUCAGUUCAUAAAAAAAUCACAUACAGUUUUCUCUAGCAAUUCAUGAUGCUUCUUCAGCGAGGACACCGUGCUGCACUGGCACCGCCACACAUGUCCGGUUUUCUCUAGUAUAUUUGAUGUAUGACCUGCAGUAGUUCUUCAGUGCACACAGGAAAAAAACUAGCAUUUCGAUUAGUAAAUUAUUUUUUUAGUUCAGUUCAAUUAAUAAAAUUACUUUAGUUCAAAAUGUUACUCCCUCCUUCCCAUAUUGUUAGGCGCUUUAGAUUUCAGCACGAAAAUUAGCGCACAUCGUUUGUUACUCGAGCUAACGUACAGGUACGAGAGACGGAGGCAUGCACGACCUCAAAAAAAGGAAAGGGAGGCAUGCACGAUCUCCUUGACCACGUCUUUUAACUGCACGAUCCCUUCAUUACCUACUAGUACUCCUUAAUUUCUAGGAAUUUAGCGAUCGUCAGGAUAUUUUAACUGCUCGAGAGAAGGAUUUGUUUGCAUGUGCCUUACAUGUUGGGAUUGCAUGCAAAAGCUAAUACGCCUAACAAUUUGGGAAGGAGGGAGUACUAAAUUUACUUCAGUUCAAACUAGCAAUGGUAACGAGCUGUUCAAUGUGGAGUUCGUGCAACAUAUAAUGCAAAGUAGAUAGCUGCAGGAAGAAAGGUACUUUAUUUGAUUUAGUUCUCCCAUGAUGCUUGUGUAUUUCAAUCCUCUAAGUUGCAUUGCAAACGGCCAACAGUAGGGUUUUUUCAAUGCUUUUAUUGGAAUUUUCAAUGUAUAGUUGCAUUUCUUUUGCAUCUCCUCACUGAUAGCUGAACCCUGCUACUACUUCUUGGUGGGAAUGGUUUGAUAUGUAUGUCACUGCCUAGUAUCAUAAAUAUCCUAGCUAAAUAGAUCAUGAUUUUCUCGCUUUCGCCUAUGUCUCUUAUUGUGUUACCCCUUCCUCUUUUCAUAUAGCAUAUUCUGAACAUCAGAUGCUUUCAAAAAUGUGUCGUGCAAGUCCAAGUAUAAGUACUGCAGGAGUUCAAAAAAUCUAACAAUUUAAGCUCAACCCAAUUUCAAAGAACUGUUUUCCUUCAUAAAUUGUAUUUUUGUUAGUUUGUUGUCAUGGACAGUACAGAUUCACAUUGCUCUGUAGUACAUGUGUCCAUUGAUGUGUUCGAAUCCCUUCCGUUCACUUUGAUUCCUACAGGUGGUUCAAUGUGUCGAGCGGCAGCAGCACUUGAUCCCUAGUGGUUGCCCGCGCAAGGAGGAUACAGGGACGCUACAGUGGUGGAGUCAGUACAUGUAGUAGCUAGCUCAAGAAAAGGAGGUUCAAAGACUGCCGUGUAGCAAGUUCAAGAGUUUAGUUUUGUGAAAUAAGUGAUUUCUUGGUUAAUGCAAUCCUCAUGUGGAAGCACUAAAGCACGCUACCUGUUGAACUGAUACCGAAGACAAGGAGCAGGACCAAGUGUGCUGGAAGUUUUUUUGUACCCAUGUGCGGAAGCACUUUAUUUUUUUGAUAAUUAUUAUUGUGUUCAUGUGGGAAACUUCAAAAACAUCUUGUUUAAUAAGUUAUUGAGCUAAAAAUGGUAUGGUUCAUACAUUCUCGUCGAUCUCGUUGUAAUUGUCCUUGUUUUUGUUUCCUGA